rnacentral:rRNA from 1 species
AGCUCCAAUAGCGUAUAUUAAAGUUGUUGUGGUUAAAAAGCUCGUAGUUGGAUCUCAACAGCCUUGAAGCGGUUAACUUUGUAGUUUUACUGCUUUGUAGGCUGUGCUUUUGCUGGAGGUUUAGGGGUGCUCUUGAUCGAGUGUCUCUGGAUGCCAGCAGGUUUACUUUGAAAAAAUUAGAGUGCUCAAAGCAGGCUAAAAUGCCUGAAUAUUCGUGCAUGGAAUAAUAGAAAAGGAGGUGGAUCUUAUUUUGUGGGUUUUCGGGAUUCAACAAAAGGAUAAAUGGGGAAGGUGGGGGCAUUUGUAUUCAAACGACAGAGGUGAAAUUCUUGGACCGUUUGAAGACAAACUACUGCGAAAGCAUUUGCCAAGAAUGUUUUCA